UCAUACCUGAUCACAAUCAAAUGUAUAGAGUAAACUGCAAACCAAUUUGAGCAAGUAGAACUAUAGGUCAAAGCUCAGAUAUACCUCUCAGAGAGAUCAUAAAGUGCUUAAAUAACUUAAAGUGAGAGUACAGAUCCUGAAAAGAGAAAUACAUCCACCAUUUUAUGUUGAAUGACAAGAUUGAACAGUUAAACCACCAUCUUAUGCAUGCCGCCAUUUUGUGAAUCUUUAUUUAACACGUGUUAUGUACAUGGACUAUCUGCUGCGGAGGCGGCAGUGUUAUAUAUGAAGAAAGGUUAAAGUUAAUA